UUAAAAUAUUUUUGUCUUAUGUUAUAUGUUGAAAUAUGAUUUAGUUAGAGUAGAGCGAUGUGUGGUGAGAUUGGAGUAGAGUGACGUCCGGUGUGAUAGGUUCGGAGCUGGGUAGGGUAGGAUAGAGUAGGAGGAAGGUUAGGGGUAUAUGUGGGGUAGGAUUUGAGGUAAAUGUGGAGAUACGGGAAGUGAAGAAAUUAUAACGUCACAAAAUUUCUUUGUACGUAACAAUCAUAAAAAAUUUCUUUUAUUAUUUAAAAAAAAUAAAAAUAGAAGCUCAAAAUAUUAUAGCAUGAAUUUCAAAUAUUAUCGUGUCAUUAUAUAUUGGAAUGGGAUUUAGUAGAGCAGAGUAACAUGUGGUGAGAUAGGGGUAGAGUGGCGUGCGGUGAAAUAUGUUUAGAGGUCGAAAGGGUAGGGUAGAGAUGUAGGAUAGGGUAGGGGUGUAGGUGGGAUAGGGGUAUAGCUGGGAUAGCAUUUAAAAAAAGGAUGGAGGUAACUGGAAGUGAAAGAAUUAUCACAAAAUUUCUUUGUACGUAACAAUCAUACAAAAUUUCUUUGAUUAAAUUAAGCCAGAAAGAUCACUUUCUCUAUUUUGGAAGUCUACCAUUUCACAGUUGCAAAUGAAAUCAGUUUUCAUAGAAUAGUAAUCAAUAAUAGUCAGCUUAACGUUUCUAAAUAAAAAAAAAUAUAAUAUAUACAUUUAAUAUAGUUUAUAGUAGAAGUGUAGUUUUAUAAAUGACAAACAGUCAUUUAAAGGCUUUCAGGCACCUGCCUAUCACAAUGCCAUCAAAAAAAAAACAGUGGACAUUUUGCCACUCAUGUUGUCAAAUAUGUUUUUUUAAUUGAAACGACGCAUUUCCAACAAGCUCAUGGUAGCGGAUAUUGUUCUUCAAUUAAAGAUCAGCAAAAAUACACUUGAGUACAUCACAAUGUGUUGGAUGACUGGCAGUUAUAAAAAUGCUUUUGAAGAAGAAUAAACAACAUUUAAAAUCCGCGCACAUUGGUCCUAUCCAUAAAAUGUAAAGAUUACCAUUCCAGUCGGCUGAUGUAACAAACUCUUGUCAAAUAUAUUAUUACUGGAAAAUCAAUGUUGAGCUACGAAAGGCGUGCAAGCACACAGUCGCUUAACUCGACAACCGCCUAAGAUAUCAAUACUAUUUUCAUGCUGAACGUUAAGCAAAAUAAAUCGAUUCGCACGUUUAUAUUCUCUGCCAUGGCUCGGCUGGAGUCUGAACCCAAUGCCUUCCCCACUAAAGGCAAACGCUAUAUCACAAGGCCAAUAUUAGACCUGCAUGAGUUCUUGUGCAUAUGGAUCUUCUAUUUGAGUUACUGAAUAUUUGCAAACACAGCAACCGCAUAAUUAGACAAUUGCCAAAUAUAUCAAUCCUAUGCCUAUCUCA